rnacentral:rRNA from 1 species
UACGAAGGUGGCAAGCGUUACUCGGAAUUACUAGGCGUAAAGGGCAGGUAGGUGGUUCGAUAAGUCUGUUGUGAAAGCUCCCGGCUCAACUGGGAGAGGCCAACAGAAACUAUCGGGCUUGAGUAUGGGAGAGGUUACUGGAAUUCCCGGUGUAGCGGUGAAAUGCGCAGAGAUCGGGAGGAACACCAAUGGCGAAAGCAGGUAACUGGACCAUUACUGACACUCAACUGCGAAAGCUAGGGGAGCAAACAGG